AAGGAAUUAGUUAAUUAAUAAUAUUGGUAUGUCAAAUCAAAGUAGUCAUUUAGACACUCCUUU
rnacentral:tRNA from 1 species